CAGGACCCCGAGCUCAGUGUUAUGUGGGAGAUGUGACAAUCAGCGGGAUGGAAGCCAUGCAUGAAGCAGUGUUGUUCCCUUCCAGGUGCCAUAGAAAUUAGCAGAAAGCUUCCAUGGUGUCCGCAGCCCUGGUCUCCCAGGCCCAGCAGCACCGUCCAGACCCAGCCUGACACAAUGUGCAGAGUGGAGAGUUCAGGCUGAUGGCUACAGUCUAGGCCCUGACGGAACCGAAGGAAGAAUGCAGUUUGAGAGGGUGACAGGUCUUUAGGGCCUUGGCAGAGCACACUCAGCGACUGAACUUGACCAGGAGGGCAAUAGGAUGCCCUCAAUGUGCUUCGAGUAGGAGAGAAGCAUCAUUAAAUCUGCCUGAUGGCUUUGGCUUAGUUGACCAGGGUUAGCCUGCUGUCAUGGUCCCUGGGUUGGAAAAACGCAGGGAAAGUUCUGGAACUGCCCCUUUACAACUCUGGCCUGCUCAAACUUUUCCUGACCUGUUGGGGCUGAACAAAGGACCCUGAGGCCAGCUGGAGAGGAGCCCUGCUGAUUGCUCACGGGUCCCUUCCUGAGAGGACCAACUGGUAUGCUUUCUCCUUAUAGCAUUGGCUCCUUUCAAGCAAUAGAACUUCCUGUCUGAUGGGGGGUCAUUUUGGCACCUCCAUGGAGAAAAUGCCUUUAAUAAGCCUGUUUCAGCCUCUGACAGCAGACACGUUUGCUUACCCAUCAACCGUUAGCACUGGGUUAAAGAAGGGUGACUGAAGUUGCUGGCAUCCAGAAGGGUGUCUCGAAAUCUAUCUGAUGAAAGACGACAGGGGUCAAAGGGAACCUUACCCUAGGGAAUCUAGGACCCCUACCCUAACCUCCAAAGUGGCUCCAGAGCUGCUGGCUCUUCAGAUCCCCACCCUGAGAAUCUGGCACCAGAGGCCUCUGAGGAACACCGAAAGGUUUGGUCCACUGUGGAAAGUAUGACCUGCCUCAGGUCAAACGGUUGACCUGGAGGAAGAGGUAAUCAGGAUUCGUCAGAGUAAAAGCCGCCCUUUUACCGCACCCUGGAAAGUUGAAACUGGAAAAUCCACAUCCAAAUGAGCAUUCCUACCCGACACCAUCAGCCACCAUGAGUAAAACGGUCUGCUAGCCGCUGGAAUAUCCCUAACUCCUUGCUGCUAUGUUUAAGAGAAGACCAAAAGGACGAUGACAUCCCGCCAACACAUGGCCAGACACUCUUUCAAAUACCGGGCAAAUGCUAAAUCGUGGUGUUCUCCCAGCAACAUGGUCCUGCUGUUAUUUCUACUUCUUGUCAGAUGCCACACAACCAUGUCCACAGAAGAGCCCAAUCCAGACUCUGGGUUUGUAACUAUCUCUAAAACUCAUGUUUCCCUAUCUGUCGCCUCCCUGUUUCAAGCCCUGGUACUGUCCAUACCUUUUCUGGAGGUUUCUCUGAUCCUGUCAGCUCCUAGAAGGCAGCAACCAUCAUCUGGCUUAUCUACGCCUCCUCAGCACUCGGCACCUAGCUGAUCCCCGGAAUAUUUACUGUAUAAAUGCUCCCGGGUAUGGAACACUACUCGAAGACUCUGAUUGUCCUCCAUUGACGUCUUCCCCAUCCCCUGUUACAAUCACUUGUAACACGACCUUUCUCACACUUUG